CAUCCUCCAAGGCUAAAUACUCCUGACUGACCGAUAGUAAACCAGUACCGUGAGGGAAAGGCGAAAAGAACCCCGGCGAGGGGAGUGAAAAAGAACCUGAAACCGUGUACGUACAAGCAGUGGGAGCACAGGUUUACCUGUGUGACUGCGUACCUUUUGUAUAAUGGGUCAGCGACUUAUAUUCUGUAGCAAGGUUAACCGAAUAGGGGAGCCGUAGGGAAACCGAGUCUUAACCGGGCGUUAAGUUGCAGGGUAUAGACCCGAAACCCGGUGAUCUAGCCAUGGGCAGGUUGAAGGUUGGGUAACACUAACUGGAGGACCGAACCGACUAAUGUUGAAAAAUUAGCGGAUGACCUGUGGCU
rnacentral:rRNA from 1 species